rnacentral:rRNA from 1 species
UACGUAGGGGGCAAGCGUUGUCCGGAAUCAUUGGGCGUAAAGAGCGUGUAGGCGGUCCGGUAAGUCGGCUGUGAAAGUCCAGGGCUCAACCCUGGAAGGCCGGUGGAAACUGUCGGGCUAGAGUCCGGAAGAGGCGAGUGGAAUUCCCGGUGUAGCGGUGAAAUGCGCAGAUAUCGGGAGGAACACCAAUGGCGAAGGCAGCUCGCUGGGACGGUACUGACGCUGAGACGCGAAAGCGUGGGGAGCAAACAGG